rnacentral:sRNA from 1 species
GCUGGGCGUGAUGGCACAUGCCUGUAAUCCUAGUAGCUUGGGAGGCUGAGACAGGAGGAUCAUGAGUUCAAAGCCAGUCUCAGCAAAAGUGAGGCACUAAGCAACUCAGAGAGAUCCUGUCUCUA